GUCUGUGGCCAUACCACCCUGAACACACCCAAUCUUGGAAGCUGAGCAGAGUUGUACCUGGUUAGUACUUGGAGGGGAGAAAUUGGAAUGGUGUAUGUUGGAGAUG
rnacentral:rRNA from 1 species